rnacentral:lncRNA from 1 species
GCCGUGAGUCGUGAUCAGCUCGUCCUUGAGAGGCAGAGAGGGAGAGAGAAAAAGGACUGUAUUAUUGCUUAGAAUCAGAGGAGGGGUUAUGGAUUGAUACAAAUAGUCACCCCCGCCAAGCCAACCCCAGCGCAGGCUGAAUUAAUGUGUUGCUAUUUUUGGGAGCCCCGUGUUUCCAGGGGAGACCUAAUGACGCAAUGACGUCAAUGCGGGUCAAUCGCAGACUGGAGGAAUUGAGUGGCUUCCAUUUGGGUCUUUUGCAGUAUUUCCUACAGAAAGGAUGGAAACGAGUACAAAAUGGAAGUAUAUUGCCUCCAAAAUGCAUCGAAAACAGAGGUGAAUCAAAAUGCUGAAGUGAAAAUGAUCAGACCGGCAUCACGUCGCCCCAACCCUUCGAGCAUCAGCGGUAGUAAGGGAGGGGCUUUACACAACCUGACCUAUUCCGAGCCCUCGCAUCCAGACGCACAGAGGUAACGAGCGCCGUUCUCCCUCGCCAUCACAUCUCAACGCACAACGCAGCUCUCGCCCAUUUAUUCUCGCAUUUUUACACGUUUUUUUUUACUGUUGCCGUGCCACGUUUUGUCUAUAAACUGCUGAUCGGGGCUUGUGCGCCGGUGAGAGCGGCGUCUCGUUAUUGUGGCUCAAGACCGUGCGCGUCAUGGUUGCUCGCAGCUCGGCGACCUGCCGACGCGCACAACCGAACGCGGGCGAUGCGUGGAGAUUUAGUCUUUUCCCAAACUUUGAAUUCGCCUGUGGAUCGUAUCUUUACCGCUGAAGUUCAAUGCGUCCGUCAAGGGAUCACGGUGUUGUGUAUUACCCAGUGAUUGCGGGCAUAUUCGGGAUUAUAGGAGGGUUAUUUUUCAGGCUACUGGCCAGGUGACGUGGGUAUAAGCAGGAUGAAUUGACAGUGCAACCCAUUGUUACAAGAAAAAAAGCCCAAGAGGGAUACAUGUUGCAUUCAACAAGAUGCUGGUGCUCCUAUUCAAUCAGACACACAUUUACAUAUUUAAACAGACGCACAUGCACACAUUAUCGGACACACACACACACACACUUGCACACAUGCACAGUGUCGUGAGAGGAGGUGGGGGAUUUUAGGGCGUUUACCGGCAGGGCUGGUGUGAAGCUUUCAGAACCAUGGACAGCUCACAUGAAGCUCCUCCAGUGUGGUCCACUCUCCUCCGUCCGCUGCAGCAUCAUUGUUCAGCAGUAAACCCCAUUUAACCCCCGGAGAUUCCUGUUUUAUUGUCCAGAGGAUACAAUUUUACCUAACCUUUUUACCUAAUUUUACCUUAUCAUUCAUCAUAUUCAUCAUAGAACACAAAGCUCACAUUUUGCCUUUUAGGUUGUUACUGUGUUGCAACUGUGUAAGGUAAUGCCAGCUAACUGCAUAAUGGGUGCAUUGUAAAAAC